AUCGCUUCUCGGCCUCUCCGGCUAAGAUCAAAGUGUAGUGCCUGUUCUUAUCAGCUUGAUAUCUGAUAGACCCUCCACAGGGGGGUCCAGAGUGUAAGCCUGAUUUUUGAGACUUUGCGGAGGUAGGAGCUCGCUCCACCUCUGCUGCGGGUUAGCCCGGCAUUGCAGUGCCGCCGGGAUUAGCCCUGCGUAC